rnacentral:rRNA from 1 species
AGAGUUUGAUUAUGGCUCAGGAUGAACGCUAGCUACAGGCUUAACACAUGCAAGUCGAGGGGCAGCAUGAAGGAAGCUUGCUUCCUUGAUGGCGACCGGCGCACGGGUGAGUAACGCGUAUCCAACCUUCCCUUAACUCCGGAAUAGCCCGCUGAAAGGCGGAUUAAUGCCGGAUGCGGUCCAGCGAGGGCAUCUGACCCGGACCAAAGGAUUCGUCCGGUUAAGGAUGGGGAUGCGUCUGAUUAGGUUGUUGGCGGGGUAACGGCCCACCAAGCCAUCGAUCAGUAGGGUUCUGAGAGGAAGGUCCCCCACAUUGGAACUGAGACACGGUCCAAACUCCUACGGGAGGCAGCAGUGAGGAAUAUUGGUCAAUGGGCGAGAGCCUGAACCAGCCAAGUAGCCGUGGAGGAUGACGGCCCUACGGGUUGUAAACUCCUUUUAUCAGGGGAUAAAGUCCACUACGUGUAGUGGUUUGCAGGUACCUGAUGAAUAAGGACCGGCUAAUUCCGUGCCAGCCGCAGC